rnacentral:sRNA from 1 species
UUGACUCAAAAAUGAGAAGCAUUAUUAUUUAAACCACUGGUCGCGAGGCCAGUGGAUAAACGGGAAAGGCGCCAGCCAAUCUUCGGUUUAUCUCCUCAUCAGGCUAAAUCACGGUUUCGACCCGGCUCUGCCGGGUCUUUUUUUG